rnacentral:misc_RNA from 1 species
GAAUUACGAUAUGUAAUGUGAAUUGCAGAAUUCAGUGAAUCAUCGAAUCUUUGAACGCACCUUGCGCUCUUUGGUAUUCCGAAGAGCAUGCCUGUUUGAGUGUCAUGAAUCUCUCAAAUGCAAUAAUUUUUAUUAAUUGUUGUGUUUGGACUUGGAAGUCUGUCGACGCAAGUCGACUCUUCUUAAAUGUAUUAGCUGGGGUUUAUAUAGUUGGAUCCUUGGUGUGAUAAUUAUCUACGCCUUGAAGUCCCGGUAGACUCUGCUUCAAAUCGUCUCCUAGAGACAAUAUUUGAAUCAUCUGACCUCAAAUCAGGUAGGACUACCCGCUGAACUUAA